GACGAACGCUGGCGGCGUGCCUAACACAUGCAAGUCGAGCGGAGAAUGCAGAAAUGUUUACAUGGAAGUAUUCUUAGCGGCGGACAGGUGAGUAACACGUGGGUAACCUGCCUCAAAGUGGGGGAUAGCCUUCCGAAAGGAAGAUUAAUACCGCAUAAGCCUACAGUGCCGCAUGGCACAGCAGGAAAAGGAGCAAUCCGCUUUGAGAUGGACCCGCGGCGCAUUAGCUAGUUGGUGAGGUAACGGCUCACCAAGGCGACGAUGCGUAGCCGACCUGAGAGGGUGAUCGGCCACAUUGGAACUGAGACACGGUCCAGACUCCUACGGGAGGCAGCAGUGGGGAAUAUUGCACAAUGGGCGAAAGCCUGAUGCAGCAACGCCGCGUGAGUGAUGAAGGCCUCGGUCGUAAGACUCUUGAUCAGGGAUGAUAAUGACAGUACCUGAAAACAAGACCACGGCUAACUACGUAGCC
rnacentral:rRNA from 1 species